rfam:Triticum aestivum genome assembly, contig: Triticum_aestivum_CS42_TGACv1_scaffold_095770_2AL
UUUCUACUCCCUCCGUCUGGAAAUUCUUGUCAUCAAAAUGAAUAAAAGGGGAUGUAUCUAGAUGUAUUUAGUUCUAGAUACACCCAUUUUUAUCCAUUUUGAUGGCAUGUAUUUUUGGACGGAGGAAGUAUUUC